rnacentral:tRNA from 1 species
GGAAUGUGGCUCAGAGGUAGAGCAGCUGCCUAGCAUGCACAAGGUCCUCAGUUCAAUUCUCAGUACCA